CCUUGCCUUCUCUAAUGUCUUAAAUGUUCUCGUCUCUUCUGGUGCUGACUCUCAGGUACAAGACCACUGCCUCAUCUUCCUUUCCAUAUAGGCAUGCCUAUGUUUUGGGCAAAGAGAGCAAUGUAGUUUAACUUGCUCCAAAAAAAAAAAAAAAGGGUUGAUGUUCACUCUGUAUCUAUUGAUGCUUGCGCCCUCAUCAUAUGUAAGUUCAUGAAGGCAUCCUUAAAUAGGCAGAAUAAUUCCUUCCAAAAAACUUCUUUUGUGGUGACAAAUUAAUCCCAUCCCACAAGGUGGGAAAUAACAAAGCCAUGCUGUCCUGUUGUUGCGUACAACUGAUGCUCGGUGUUAUUCUGAUAUAAAACUACAACGUAAAAUUUUAUUGUUUCGUUCGUCAAUCAAUGUUGAUGUUCCUUAUGAUAAUUGUCGAUUGUCACUGCAGUUGUGUGUUUGGAACACUGGUAGAUGGACGAAGCAGACUAGUAAGUUUCUGCAGAUGCCGAAUGGGCGAGGAGCAGCGCCUCUUGCUGAUACUCGUGUUCAAUUUCAUGUGGAUCAAAUACAUCUGCUAGUUGUUCAUCAAACACAGAUCGCCACAUGUGAAGCUCCUAAACUAGAACGCCUCAAGCAGGUAUUGAAGAUUUUUUUUUUAUUGUGCAUGAUCCAAUCUCUCCUCUCAUCUUGAUUGCAUAAAAAUUAUCUAAAUAUUAGGUAGUAUGAGUUGCUUCAUGCCACAUGUACUUUUUUUGAUUCGUUGUUGAUCGCAACUAGUGGGACACUCGAGAAGCUAGUGCUCCAAUCACAGAUGCUACAUGCUACAUAUUCAUGCAAUGGCCAAUCAAUAUUUGUGAGCUUUGAAGAUGGGAGCAUCAGUGUUCUUUCUGCUUCUACACUCAGAUUGAUUUGUUGUAUUAAUCCUGCUGCUUACAUCCUUCCAAAACCUAGGUAAGUUGGUUAUUGCUGCUCACAUAACCUCAUUCCUUUAUGGAAAAUGGCAAGUCUCAUUUACGAAGUUCCAUAGUCUCGCGAAUUACUCAUUCCUCACUGAUGUAUUUGGCAGCUUGAGAGUCUACCCACUAGUCAUCACAGCACAUCCAUCGGAACCUAACCAGUUUGCGCUAGGGCUUACUGAUGGCAGCGUCUAUGUGCUUGAGCCUUUGGAAUCCGAAGGAGGGUGGGGUGGUUCUCCUCGUGUUGAAAAUGGUGUUGGCCCUAGCACGACCUCUGGCGCAACUGAUUUAGAUCAACCCCAAAGGUAGUGCAGGCCAUGUCUCUCCCUAUGAAACUUUUGAGCAUUACAAUGCUAAGCCGGCUUUCCUCUGCCAUACUUGAUUCAAGUUUUGAGGGGAUGCUGCUGAGGGUAGAUUUUACUGCCUCGGGGUACUUUCUUGCGACAUAGUUCAGUACGGUUUGUCCUAAUCGACUUCUGCUUGAGUCUUGUGGUGAUAACUUGUUUUGUUAUAUUCAUUUAGGCUGACUGGAAGUGAAAAAAGAAAAACUUGAGGUUGGAGUGUUGUUUUGAAUACAACAAAUUGGAGGUAGAGAGGAUACCUCACUUCCUACACAACUGAAAGUCUACGGACUUGAUUACAUUAGUUAGUUAACUAAUGCCUUUUCAGUAUCUAAACUUAAUUAAUUUUUAAACUAAGUGUCCAUGCAAUCUUUGACCAUUUUAUUAACCUAUGUUACUAAAUGACGUCCAUGUAUGAGUGCACAAUCAAUUAAAAAGUAAACAAUUACAAUCAAUAUGAUAGAAGUAAAUUAGAAGAAAGUAGACCCAAUGGAGUGUCAAGCAAAGAAUCACAUGGCUUUGUUAUUAAGCCUCUGGACAGCAACAUGUGCUGAAUUCAAAUUUAGUCCAAUUCAUCAGAAGAGUGCUAAACCUAAAUUAAAUUAAAGUUACUUAUCAAAAACCCCCCUAAACUAUAUGUAUACUAACUAAAGAAACUAAGCUAGAUCUAGCAUCACAAUUUAACGACCUUAUCAAGGUCUCUAUUUCUAGCUAUUUUCAAUUUUUCAUUUUUUAUGAAUAUUUUGAAAUUAAUUCUGAUCAUUUUCUGAAAAUAGGGACCCGAGCUCCGGCUAUGAGCCGCACGCUAGUCUCACGAAUCUGGGAUGAUAACUAAUAAGCACAAUUCGGGCUCUUAUGUUGAGCCCCCUCUAAUUUUAACUUUACUGAGCCCAAUUCUGAUUAUACCUAUUCUAAGCCCACUACCCAUCGUAACUACUCUAGCCCAUUUUCUCUUCCAACUUCACCUGGUCCAUUUUUAAGCCCGAUUUCUAUUAUAGAUAGAUGAAACCCUAAGCCCACUCUAAACCCAUCUCAUUAUUAUAUUUAAAUCAAUUUUGCUCUUUUCUUACAUCUUUUCGUCAUUAUUAUUAUUUUCUUCUUCCUUCUUCCAGGCCUUCGUCCUCUUGAACAAGUCAAGAAUCUAAUAAGCCAAUUUCUCACGGAUGAACUCCAUAGAGACUUCACAAAAACAUAUGUAAAAUUAUGAUAUGAAAACACAAGAAAAAUUUAUGUUCUGAUUUGGUAUUGAUAACAAUGAAUUUUAAUAGGAAUUAAAUCCGAAUGUUAAUGGACUGACUUGUAGCAAGUAAUGUAUGCUAAAAUUUCUUCAGAUUGAACUAGAUCAGGAAUUAUUUCACCGACGUACCUUAAAAACAUUUCAUUAGACAGUCUAUGUGCACCAAAAGGAUUGAUCCCGUUUGGUUCGGCUUUUGGGGGAAUGUCCUUGGGGAAAUACAAAUGUCUUUAGUCUAAAGGGGUUUGGCGAAAUGCAAAUACUAUUUUGGCAUUUAGAUAAGCCUUUUUUUUUCAUGAGGCAGAAUGCAUCUACUUCUAUUACAAGUGGGACAGGUGGGAUUUCACCCAUUGCAACUUAAGGUAAGUGAAGAAAAGGUUUCCUGUGGAAAACCUUUAGGCCUCCAACACCUAUUUUUACUUUAGUGACAAUAUUGAAUUGGAGAAGGGAAAAUCAGAUGAUACGUCCAUGUAUCUCUUCCCGUAAGAGCUUAUAUAAACUAAACAUAUUCAAGAUUAAUAAAAAAAUGACGCAACCUACAAGCAAUAAGACGCCUAAAAAUCCUUAGGCUCCGGAUAAGUAAAUUUUUGUCAUGAGCGUAACAGCUAUCAUCCAGUAACUGUUCUCUUACCAGAAGCCACAUGGUAUUACUGUUGUAGUUAUGUUCAUCCACAUGCUAUGAUAAACCUCGCUGGUGAAAGAGGACGAUCCAUUUCAAAUAAGAAAGAAAUAUAACCAUCUUCUUAUGCUACAUAAUCGUCAAUGUAACCAGAGCUACUGGCCUACAUACCCGCUAAAUCCCAUAUUGAAACUUAACCAAGAUUAAACCAUCCGACGAGAAAACAUUACAGCGAAAGCGACCUCAGAAUCCAUGUUGCGCCUCGACCUAAUAACAUGCUACGAUCUCUCACCAAAUUAGAACAUGCCACUCUAGCCAUAAGAUAUUCAAUUACUCACACAAAUUUCCACAGAAAUUGCAACAUUAAUUGAGAAAAUCUGACCUGGAUAGAAGCGAGCGCGAGCACGACAGGAAAGCUUGAGGGCAGCGAGCAUAAAGGAGUGAAGGAGUGUUGCGAGGAAGAGAACUCAAACCCCUGCCAACCAUGAGGGAACGUUGCUUCAAGCACGAAAGGGGAAGUCGUCAAGGUACGAGAAAGGCGAGUGAACGUGAGGGUCGGACACAAAACAAUCGUGAGGUAGAGAGAGGCGUGAGAGCGUAAGAAGAGUAAUGCCCGCGGCCCUCGCGAGUAAUCUCGUGCGGAAUCUUCAACGGCGACUGCAAAAUUGGACGAAUGAGCAAUGGAAUUGAAGUUUCCAAGCUUACCCAAUUGCCCUGCUACGAGCGCGACGCGAGCGUGAGAGCAGAACGGCGAGAGGCGAUCUUCGAGGUUGGGAUGGCUGAUCUCGGAUGGACACCGGAGAGCAGCUCGCAUAGGAGACGGUGAGGGACGACGGAGAGAGGCGCGAGAGUGUAGAGGAGGCGUAAGGCUAUAGAAAGCGUGAGGCUACAGUAAGGAAAACGAGGCUUAGGUUUUUCUAUUUAGAAAAGGGUAAAAACGGAUUUUGGUUAAUAAAUGUGGACAAAAUGAGCAACUAACAUAUUUUCAUUAAACAAAGGAAGUUGCAUUCCGAAAAUGCUACUUUUUAAAUGCACCUCUACCCCUCCAUUCCCCCAAAGGCCUUUGAAGCCCUUUGGAGAUGCAAUUGCAUCUUCCCAAAGUUCUCAAAAAAUUGAACCAAACAUCACCUGCAUUUAUCCAAACCCCUUCAGAGCCCCAAAGCCCAUUCCAAAUGCUGAACCAAACGGGGCCUGAAUCUGGUCAUAAAUCGAAGUUUUGUUUUCGUCUAAAAUUAGUGUCAGAACCAUGAAGCCAUUACAAAUCAUCAAAUUACAGCCUAGAUCAUCAGUGAUUUUCACAUUAGUAAGCCGAACGUGGUCCAGUCAUGCAUCUUUCCAAAAUAGGGCAAGAAAGAGGGGAAUGAAAUUAUCUUCUCAAGGAGUUCUCGGUUGAGAACUAAGGGCUAAUGAACAAACUAAGGGCUAGAAAUGGUUUAGUUUCUGGGCAUUUAUGCGUCCGAGUAAUGCAAGUUGGACUUAAUAGAUGUGGAUGGGCCAUGGGCUUGGCUUGGACGAAUUGGAUCGAGCCCAUCGCAUUGAAUGGACAUCCUUUAAAAUUAGUUGAUGAAUUGAAGUCUCUUCAGUUAUUAUUUUUCGCAAUCUUCAUUUUGGUUUUAUUUAUUCAUAUCUUUGACAUAAACCGCCUAAAUUGCCGAUUUUCCUUAAAUUGUUGACUAAAAAUCAAAUAUCCACAGCAGGUCCAAGACCUCCAAAUUGACUGAACCAGUUUCUUGAAAGUUGUUGUAAUCUUGAAGGUGCUACAAUUGAGAAAUGUUCGACAAACCCCUCACAGAAGCCACAAUGCCCAUUUUUCAUAGUCCAAGUAACUCCUAACAUUAAUUAUUGAUACUCUUUUCAAAAUAAUUCAUAUAUUUUUAGACAGUCAUAAUAUGAACGAUUUUUUUUAGCAUUUUCUAUAAGAGUCGAAUUGUUAAUUCGAAACUUUCACGCAAAGAAUUAUAUGGUAAAGUACUUAUUAGAGUUAUAAUAAGUCAGAAUAUAACAAAAUGUCAAUCGAAGUGCUUAAUCAUGAAAGAGAAGAAGCGAUACCAAUAUCAAAAACCAAAGAGCUGUUGGCAGAAUCAAAAUUUCCUUCUCUCCUGUUAGUGUAUAUUUAGUUCCGAAAAGAAUAAAUAUAAAUGUAUGUUUAUUUUGUCACAUAGUAAGUAUUACUUUCAAGAGUGCUUUGAUUUGAUAGGUGGAACCAUAACAACUAAACUGGGUAAGGUCUUUCUUUAAUUUUCGUCGUACCUGACAUUGAGAAAUGCUGUGGACAGUAGCUCUCCAUCCUUACGAUGAAUGUCAAUACAACGAAAAUAAUUAACCACUUUUAAGCCAUUCUCAAUUACUUGCAAGCAUCUGCACACAAAGUGAAACCUGCUUAUUUCCGUCUUCGACUGGGCUUCUUACUCUUUCUAGCUGGGGUCGACUGCUCCUAAGGCACUGGUAAUAGGGUUCCUCCUGUAACGCCAUCUUUAUCAUUCAUCUUGUCAAAAGUUUUCUGGGCGCCAAUAUACACCUUAAGGUCUCUGAUCUGUGAAGGAUGACGAGGGACAUGCCACUGUCAACGCACACUAUGCACGCACGCGCAGAGUUUUCACAAUAUUAUAUACAAAUUAUUACAGUUUUAAGGCUAAAAGAAAAUAACUGUUCUUCUAAGUCAAGUAUUUGUUCAUCCUUCAACUUCAGUGACAGAGUUUUCCUGCAGAUGCACAGAAGCGCAUGUGUCCUCCAUUCAUGUCAAAUUAAUAGGGAAGACUAAAUUCCUGACAGCUUUAAUUGACUGGAAUCAUAUACUGAAAAAGUGUCGGUACAAUUGACAAUAAUACUUAUUGAGGAAACUAGCCCACGUAACUUCAAUGAAGAUGGACAAGACGAGUAUACUUCAAAACGCUGCAUGAAUUUCUCUAUAAAGAAAAUGUUGUAGGCAUAUUAAGGUACUUAAAAGGCAUCUACACCUAUAUUGCUUGACAUGUGAAGCUCAUAUAAGCUUUAAGUCUACCCAGUGUAUCUUCUUUUCCUUUUAUUUUCUAUUUUGUGAAAGUUGGAAAUGUCAACAUAACGCAGUAUGAACAACCAAUCGAAUUUCAAUUGGAAUUAGUAGAAUUUCAAUAUUGAACCGUAUCAAUUAAAAUUUGAAUCCUGAACCAUCACAUCCUGAACCAUCACAAAAUAAUGUUCAAAUAUCUCCAGUGUGUAAAAAAGUACUUUGAAAUUGGACCACCACCACGAAGAUUUUAACAUUGAUUUCUGUCGAUAAAGUUCAACCUCUAAAGCAGUAGCACUAUUUCUUCAGAGGAAAACAAAAUUACAGAUGGAGCAUAUAUAAACAAAAGAACAAAAUUAUGGAGAGCACUGACACGUGGAACUUUCUCAAUACGUGCUGCGUUCUCUCCUUUCUCCUUUUCCCCUUUUUGUCUCUUUCUUUCCCUCGUUAGAGUUUGUCCCAUCUUGCCACUUUUUAAAAAGAAUUCAAUAAAUAAAUAAAAAACACCAAAAGCUUUUUCAUCUCCUUGCCACAUCCUCCAACUAAUAAUUAACUCAAACUUAAUUAUCCUUCCCAAGUAUGGUGAAAGGAAGGCAUAUUAACCGUGUGAUAAACUCUGACUCAUCAUAAAAUGACUUUCGUUCUUUUGCCAUUUGUUAUGUGUCACAAGUCACGUAUAGUUGCUAUUCACAUAUUUGAAUUAGAAACUGUAUUUCCUCUUUCUUCCUCGAACUUUAACCUUUUUUACCUCACAUCUAAAAGUCCAUGCCAUGUGAACACUUCCUCGUCAUGAUACCCUUCCCACUUUUUUCUCAUCUUCUCAAAUGUCUGUUUCCACUUCCUCUCUGACGACCAACCUCACUUACAUGAACUAUUACUACAAUGCUGCUUCAUUUUACUGAUUAGUUUUAUGAGACUAUGCAUGCUAUGGUAUUACUUGUCUAGAGAAAUCAGCAACGAAAAAUACCUCUCUUCAAUUUCCUUAACCUUUCUCCGCAUCAUAUCUUGGUUCUUGAUAAGAGUUUGAUUAAGCUGCAACCACAAGGAACGGCAUCCAUUACUGGUAUGAACGAGUGAAAACUAUUGCAUCUGAUUGUAAUAUGAAAAAUGAGGCAUGUGAAAAACAAGAACAAUCAGCCUUGGCUUCAGUCAGCCCUCCUCUCAAACUUUAAACAUCCAAAAUCACAAAAGGUAAAACAGAGAAGAUUAAAGCCUUACCUCUGCCAUGGCCUUCUUUUCGUCACCAAGUUUCCCCAACUUACUAUGGAUCUCUUCAAUCUUUGCAGUCACACCUUUCUUGAUUGCUUCUAGUUUGGAAUUUUCUUUUCUACUUUUGGCUUCUAACAUGAGAGACUCAUAAUGCUAACAGAGAAAAACAAAAGAACUAAUAGGGGAUGAUAUGUUCAAGGACUUAAAAUGUAUUCUUUAAAGUCAGUCUAAGGAUGAUGGCAGUCUAUGUAACAAAAAUGACAAACAUGGGUUAGAAACGGAACACUAUCACCAACAGCAGCAUGGGCAGUUUAUAUAUAAUCUACUGGCUUUUGUACUUCUACUUCUGAUACAACAGGUUUUCAAUUCAGAUACUGUUCCUUCUAGGACUAUCCAUAAAAAAAAAGCCAAUAAUAAAAGAGUCCUGGCACCUUAGGGAAACGCAAUUCAUUUUCUACCACAGAUAUAUUAGUAAGAAAACAAAAAAGAAAAGAAGAAUACCAGAAGUUUUGCAAUUCUCUCAAGCUGAUGCAAGGCCACUAGUUCUUUUAUACUUCCUAUAUAAGCUCAUUAGACAAAUGCAGUAUGCAAAUCGACAGGUAUAAAAUGUUGUACACUAUAUAAAAGCAAAUGAAGCUGAGAUCAUACAACACGAGUGUAAUUACUUUCCUUCUCUUCACAACAAUUCUGACAAUCCCAUUGAUUUCCAAGAGUAAAAUGAGUUCACUUAAGGAAAAAAAAAAAAGAGAAAGAAAAAAGAAAAUUGAGAAACAUUUUUUGAUCUGAAAUAACUAAACUAAUGUUCUAUUAUGGUUUUCUCCUAAAAUAUGUGUACUUAAAAACCAUUACCUAAAGCAAAAGCACAAUCAACGCAAGCUUUCACAAGUAAUGCUUAUAACCAUGGCUGAUCAGUCAGUAUAAUAAAAUGCGAAAGACUAAACAUGGAGAAUUGAAAUGGUCUUGGUAUACGCAUGCUUACUUUUCUUUGCACUUCCAGCUGAUUUGAAGCUAGAUGAAUAUAGUCAGCGUGAAUCUACAAAAAAGUAAAGCUACAGUGUCAGAGAAAAUGAAGAAAGUCUGACAAUUAUAAUGGAGGUAAUAUCCACUUUGCAGGCCCAAUAAUGAACUUGUGACAUUUGGCCAACAAAAUGAACAUGUGAAGUACAAAAACGGAAACCGAAUCUUUCAUUGUCAGUUGUCAGCACCUAAAACAGUAAAAGCAUCAUGCACCUCUAAACUUCAAACAUUCCACUUAACUGAGUCCAAGCUCCAAAUCUUUGCAGGGAAAGGAGAACCAGAAAACAAAAAUAUUCAAAGCAUAAAAAUAAGGACACAUGAACCUACUUCUUCGAUUUUGCUGCUGAAGAGCGCCCCACUAAUUUCAGAAUCCUCGCUGCAACCGCAGCUACCACAAUCUCCUUCAAGUGAUUCACAGUAUGAAUUCAUCUCCAAAAGCUUGCCAUCAGUUUUUGAUUUAUUAAGCCGGUGAACAUAAGUGUCCCCAACAUAAUCCCAAAUUUGCUGUGUUCUUAAAUCCAGAGAAUAGCAAUGUUGUGUAUCUUUCCAAUGGCUGAUGGCAUGCUUAUCUCUGUAUCUACAAAGCCAGAAAAGAAAAGCUAUAAUGAAGACAGCCUAUCCAAUCACUAAAACUAUAGAGUGAGCGAAGAUUCCAGCAUAUCAUGACUGAAUCUAUCACUUUCCACAUCCAACAAAACCACAUAUCAGACAAACCCAAAGAUUUUCCAUUGUUCCACAAAUAAAGCACCAUGGCACCUCAUCUUGCUGUUGGCAUAGACGGCAAACCUGAUAAAGAACAGAAACAGAAUCUUCUUCACAAUCUGUUAACAGACGGGCAUCCCUGAUGAUGUUGCAAAAUGAAACUACAUUUCCGAUCAAGGUAGUUUCUUGCAACCAAAUCAAGAUAUGUGCCGUAANNNNNNNNNNNNNNNNNNNNNNNNNNNNNNNNNNNNNNNNNNNNNNNNNNNNNNNNNNNNNNNNNNNNNNNNNNNNNNNNNNNNNNNNNNNNNNNNNNNNUCUUAGCUUCAGGACAGGAAUGUUUUGAGGUCAAAGAUCAGAAUUUUGAUGUCAGUAUGAUCACCCUGUACUUGUGAACAUACGCAUAACUUAUCGUGCAUGCUUGGCCACUGCUAUUACUUCUGUCACUCUUUGACUCAUGAGAAAUUUGAGAUAAGAGUGACAGGACCAUCGGAUUAAACACACGUGAUGAGACAUUGCAAAAAUUCUUGCGUCAGAACAUGAUAAUCAACAAAAAGUAACUCCAAGAAGCCAUACCAUUGACCUAUUCCAAAUCUCCAAAUAAAUGUCAUGAUAAUUUAAAAGAAAUCCUGAACUUAGUAAGCACAAUAGAGUAAAGGAAAAUUCUACUUUUCAUUCAUAUACUUUCACGCUUUUCUAAUCAUGUCUAUACUUUUAAUUUGCCUAAUUUAGUCCAUCUACUUUAACAAACUUUCCAAUCAAGUCUUUUGGACACUAAAAUAUGACCAAAUUCAACUGAAGUGGCUGUUCGAUGAUGACGAUAAAAUAUGCAGAUGCCCACAUGGACACGUCUGGAAAAAUUUAGCCAAUGUAGAUAACCUCGAAGUGCAACAUGGAUAAAAUAAUGGACAUCCGAGUCACACAACAGAGACAUCUGACGGUCACACCGGCUGAAUUUGGCCUGAUUUGGUGUCAGAGACAUUUGAUUAGAAAAUCUGUAAAAGUAGAAGGACUUUAUUUAACAAAUUAAAAGUACAAGGGACUUGAUUAGAAAAUAUGUGAAAGUUCAGGAUUAAAACAAUACUGCCACAAUUGCUAUAGCUAAUAUUAAUUAUCAAAAAGCAACAACUAAUCCACAGUCAGCAGAUCAACAGAAAGAUAGUGGCAGUAGCUGCGAAAUUACAUUAUAAAUUCAUCUAAUCUGUAGCAGCAGAAGAAUGUCUAACCUGACAAGACAAGUAAGUCCAUUUUGUACCACAUGAGCAAUGAAAGGAAUGGUCACACUGCAUACUCAAAAUUCCGCUGGUAUCUGGGUCCAAUCUCUCUGACAUCAAAAGAAAAAAAGUUGCAAUUGUAAACAGCUUUCUAUAAACUCAUCUCACCGCAAGGGAAAUAUAAUCAGCAAGGGAGUACAGGCAUGGCCUACCAAGACAAACUGGNNNNNNNNNNNNNNNNNNNNNNNNNNNNNNNNNNNNNNNNNNNNNNNNNNNNNNNNNNNNNNNNNNNNNNNNNNNNNNNNNNNNNNNNNNNNNNNNNNNNNNNNNNNNNNNNNNNNNNNNNNNNNNNNAAGACUGUGUGAUCUCACAGCAAACAACAGGUGCAAAAAUUGCAAAUACCUCAGCAGGCGAGAAAUUCUUGCCAUUGAAGGUGCAUUAGAAACCAUCGGCAGCCUUUUGAUCGAUAAGCUCAAUCAGCACGCUGUACCUAUCUUCCAUCCCAUCAUUCCUACAUCAAACCCACAAUUCGCAACACAAUGAUCACUAAAACUACUAAAAAGCAUUUACAAAAGAAACCAGACCGGAAAACCCAGUUCCACCGUCGGAAUGCUUCCAAAAAAUUGAACUUUCAUCAUCGGACACCCCCUAAGGCAUGAUCACGAGCAAAUUUUCAGUAAUCGAGUCCAUCUCUUAGAUUUUCGUCAGCGAAUUCUAAUUCUUCGAAUUCUCCCUUUCGCUUACCCAAUUCAUCUCACCAACUGAAAAAACAGGUCCGAAGUCCCGAAGAAGAGGAGGAGAGAAAACAGAAACGAUCGAAGCCUUACCUGAUGAACCGGAGCUCGGAGACGUCGUCGAUCCGGGGGCCGCAGAACCGGAUGAAGUCGUCGGGGGAAAAGUAAUUGGGGACGGCGACGACGAAGAGGGUGGUGGAGCGGGCACCGGGGCUCGAGAGGGGCGCGUGCGACAGCGUCCGGAACAGGUGGACCAUGCCCCUCCGCUCGGCGAACCUAGCGAUCUCCGGCGGCGGCGGCGAGGAGGAGGAGAAGCCGCCGUAGUCGGUGGCGAGGGGGUGGUCGGUGUCCACCGAGUGGACCCGGAGGAAGAACAUCUUUUACCCUUCGGACUGAGUUGAAUCGCCCGAGUUGGAGAAGAUUGCUGGAUUGCGGAGCAGAGAGAAGAAACUCGCGGGAACUAAGAGGAGGAUUGGGCACGCCUUCUUCCUGGAAUUAUAACGGUUGCUACUUUCCACCCAAAAAAAAAAACUAAUUGGUGCAAAAUGAAUAAUUUAUUGUCUAAUACGACUAACUUAAUUUCAAUAAUUAUUUAGGAGAGAUUUAAAAAGAAUUGGGUAUUCCUUGUUGAGUUGAGAUUUACACAAUAGACAUUUUUUAUUCAUUUCGGGUGUUCGAAAUAAUUAAAAAAAUUAAAUUUGAAAUUGAUCAAAUUACUUUUUGAUUGAACAAAUUCAGAAUUAUGUGAAUUAUGGUAAGAAGUAUGUUAUGUGAUUGCUUAUGAACGAAAUAAUUUUGUAAUCAUCUCAUUCUCAUUUAUUAUCAAAAUGAUGAUGCAUCCGAAUUAAAAUUGGUAAUAAAUUCUACCGACAUUGGAAAAGCAAAGAAAUGAUAAAGGCCUAAACUGAACUAGUCGUGGAUUCUAUUUCUUUUGCUUCGUCUGACAAACAAAACAUGACGACAAAGGCUAGAAUACUCCUAGAUAUACUAAAACUGAAAUGCAAGGGCAGUCAAGUGUCUAUUUGGCAUAAAAAUUGCUAUCACAGGUGAUUAUUAUGCGGGCCUAGUUUGGACCAACAUCAAGACUAAAUUGUUGCUCAAGCUCGUUCAUAAAAUGAAUCAUAUAUAGAAAUGUUGGGGCACGGCUCAGGCGAAGGUCGGGCAAGCUAGGAUUUUUUAACGUAAGGAUAUUUUCUAGUCUCAGGGUCAUGUCUCUGAUUGUGAUGUUGCAGAGGGUAGAUUUUAUAGUCUCGGGGUCUUCCUCCUGACAUAGUUUGGCACAAUUUUUUCUUUAAGUGGUACAGUUAGCAUCCUUAUCAACUUGUAGAUCUUACAACCUCAGGGCCUUCUUCUAGACAUAGUUUGGCACCAUCUAUUUUAAGUGGUACAAUUAGCAUCCUAAUGGACUCAUGCUCAAGUCUAGCGGUGAUAAUUUGUUUUAUUAUAUUUAUUUAGGCUGACUGAAAGUGAAAAAGAAGAACAUGAGAUUAGGGUGAUGCGUGGAAAGCGUUGUCUAUGCGAGUUGGAGACAGGUUUAUCUGAUUUUAGUUAGCAAGCUAAAGGAUCAUAGGAACAGGGUUUAGUUUUCGCAGGUGGCUUCUUUUCUUGUUCCUUCUGCGUCAUGCUGAAAGUACUUUUCUUAUGUUUUUUUAUUUAUUCUUUUUAAUUUGCUGAAGUAGCAUUUGUUAGCACUUAGCAGGUUCUAUUUUCUUGUUCUUUUGCCACAAAAAAAAAUAAUAUGAAUUAAUUAAAAAAUCAUCUUCUUCUUGUGUUCCUAUUAUGAACGCGAUUUGAGCGCAACAACACUCAGACCUUGGAUGAAAGUCAAUACUUCGCCAUGGUCUACCUCGACAUUUUGCUUAUUGGACUGCAUUCUUUGGGAAUCAAGUUCCAUCUUUUUUAGGAUGAUAGUCUUUAACUGCAGUCGGUAAACACUAUAUUGUCGGGGACACAAGUCGGUUAUUUCUCCAGUUUUUACAGUUGACAGAGUUGAUUUUUUCAUUUGCAAAUGGACACAGAGCAGGUAGGAGCAUGACACCGAGCCUCUUUUGAUCUCAUCUAUAUUCCUAUCACCCUUCCCUUACUACGCUAUCAGCCACCAAAGAGUACUUUCUCUCAGCACAUGAGCCUAAUGGUAGGUGAUGGGAAAGUAGCCGAGAAUUGAAAAAAAGUAUUUACUUUCUCAUACGUGAAUUGUAUGAUUACAGCCCUAUNNNNNNNNNNNNNNNNNNNNNNNNNNNNNNNNNNNNNNNNNNNNNNNNNNNNNNNNNNNNNNNNNNNNNNNNNNNNNNNNNNNNNNNNNNNNNNNNNNNNNNNNNNNNNNNNNNNNNNNNNNNNNNNNNNNNNNNNNNNNNNNNNNNNNNNNNNNNNNNNNNNNNNNNNNNNNNNNNNNNNNNNNNNNNNNNNNNNNNNNNNNNNNNNNNNNNNNNNNNNNNNNNNNNNNNNNNNNNNNNNNNNNNNNNNNNNNNNNNNNNNNNNNNNNNNNNNNNNNNNNNNNNNNNNNNNNNNNNNNNNNNNNNNNNNNNNNNNNNNNNNNNNNNNNNNNNNNNNNNNNNNNNNNNNNNNNNNNNNNNNNNNNNNNNNNNNNNNNNNNNNNNNNNNNNNNNNNNNNNNNNNNNNNNNNNNNNNNNNNNNNNNNNNNNNNNNNNNNNNNNNNNNNNNNNNNNNNNNNNNNNNNNNNNNNNNNNNNNNNNNNNNNNNNNNNNNNNNNNNNNNNNNNNNNNNNNNNNNNNNNNNNNNNNNNNNNNNNNNNNNNNNNNNNNNNNNNNNNNNNNNNNNNNNNNNNNNNNNNNNNNNNNNNNNNNNNNNNNNNNNNNNNNNNNNNNNNNNNNNNNNNNNNNNNNNNNNNNNNNNNNNNNNNNNNNNNNNNNNNNNNNNNNNNNNNNNNNNNNNNNNNNNNNNNNNNNNNNNNNNNNNNNNNNNNNNNNNNNNNNNNNNNNNNNNNNNNNNNNNNNNNNNNNNNNNNNNNNNNNNNNNNNNNNNNNNNNNNNNNNNNNNNNNNNNNNNNNNNNNNNNNNNNNNNNNNNNNNNNNNNNNNNNNNNNNNNNNNNNNNNNNNNNNNNNNNNNNNNNNNNNNNNNNNNNNNNNNNNNNNNNNNNNNNNNNNNNNNNNNNNNNNNNNNNNNNNNNNNNNNNNNNNNNNNNNNNNNNNNNNNNNNNNNNNNNNNNNNNNNNNNNNNNNNNNNNNNNNNNNNNNNNNNNNNNNNNNNNNNNNNNNNNNNNNNNNNNNNNNNNNNNNNNNNNNNNNNNNNNNNNNNNNNNNNNNNNNNNNNNNNNNNNNNNNNNNNNNNNNNNNNNNNNNNNNNNNNNNNNNNNNNNNNNNNNNNNNNNNNNNNNNNNNNNNNNNNNNNNNNNNNNNNNNNNNNNNNNNNNNNNNNNNNNNNNNNNNNNNNNNNNNNNNNNNNNNNNNNNNNNNNNNNNNNNNNNNNNNNNNNNNNNNNNNNNNNNNNNNNNNNNNNNNNNNNNNNNNNNNNNNNNNNNNNNNNNNNNNNNNNNNNNNNNNNNNNNNNNNNNNNNNNNNNNNNNNNNNNNNNNNNNNNNNNNNNNNNNNNNNNNNNNNNNNNNNNNNNNNNNNNNNNNNNNNNNNNNNNNNNNNNNNNNNNNNNNNNNNNNNNNNNNNNNNNNNNNNNNNNNNNNNNNNNNNNNNNNNNNNNNNNNNNNNNNNNNNNNNNNNNNNNNNNNNNNNNNNNNNNNNNNNNNNNNNNNNNNNNNNNNNNNNNNNNNNNNNNNNNNNNNNNNNNNNNNNNNNNNNNNNNNNNNNNNNNNNNNNNNNNNNNNNNNNNNNNNNNNNNNNNNNNNNNNNNNNNNNNNNNNNNNNNNNNNNNNNNNNNNNNNNNNNNUCUCUAGAUUUCGUCAGCGAAUUCUAAUUCUUCGAAUUCUCCCUUUCGCUUACCCAAUUCAUCUCACCAACUGAAAAAACAGGUCCGAAGUCCCGAAGAAGAGGAGGAGAGAAAACAGAAACGAUCGAAGCCUUACCUGAUGAACCGGAGCUCGGAGACGUCGUCGAUCCGGGGGCCGCAGAACCGGAUGAAGUCGUCGGGGGAAAAGUAAUUGGGGACGGCGACGACGAAGAGGGUGGUGGAGCGGGCACCGGGGCUCGAGAGGGGCGCGUGCGACAGCGUCCGGAACAGGUGGACCAUGCCCCUCCGCUCGGCGAACCUAGCGAUCUCCGGCGGCGGCGGCGAGGAGGAGGAGAAGCCGCCGUAGUCGGUGGCGAGGGGGUGGUCGGUGUCCACCGAGUGGACCCGGAGGAAGAACAUCUUUUACCCUUCGGACUGAGUUGAAUCGCCCGAGUUGGAGAAGAUUGCUGGAUUGCGGAGCAGAGAGAAGAAACUCGCGGGAACUAAGAGGAGGAUUGGGCACGCCUUCUUCCUGGAAUUAUAACGGUUGCUACUUUCCACCCAAAAAAAAAAACUAAUUGGUGCAAAAUGAAUAAUUUAUUGUCUAAUACGACUAACUUAAUUUCAAUAAUUAUUUAGGAGAGAUUUAAAAAGAAUUGGGUAUUCCUUGUUGAGUUGAGAUUUACACAAUAGACAUUUUUUAUUCAUUUCGGGUGUUCGAAAUAAUUAAAAAAAUUAAAUUUGAAAUUGAUCAAAUUACUUUUUGAUUGAACAAAUUCAGAAUUAUGUGAAUUAUGGUAAGAAGUAUGUUAUGUGAUUGCUUAUGAACGAAAUAAUUUUGUAAUCAUCUCAUUCUCAUUUAUUAUCAAAAUGAUGAUGCAUCCGAAUUAAAAUUGGUAAUAAAUUCUACCGACAUUGGAAAAGCAAAGAAAUGAUAAAGGCCUAAACUGAACUAGUCGUGGAUUCUAUUUCUUUUGCUUCGUCUGACAAACAAAACAUGACGACAAAGGCUAGAAUACUCCUAGAUAUACUAAAACUGAAAUGCAAGGGCAGUCAAGUGUCUAUUUGGCAUAAAAAUUGCUAUCACAGGUGAUUAUUAUGCGGGCCUAGUUUGGACCAACAUCAAGACUAAAUUGUUGCUCAAGCUCGUUCAUAAAAUGAAUCAUAUAUAGAAAUGUUGGGGCACGGCUCAGGCGAAGGUCGGGCAAGCUAGGAUUUUUUAACGUAAGGAUAUUUUCUAGUCUCAGGGUCAUGUCUCUGAUUGUGAUGUUGCAGAGGGUAGAUUUUAUAGUCUCGGGGUCUUCCUCCUGACAUAGUUUGGCACAAUUUUUUCUUUAAGUGGUACAGUUAGCAUCCUUAUCAACUUGUAGAUCUUACAACCUCAGGGCCUUCUUCUAGACAUAGUUUGGCACCAUCUAUUUUAAGUGGUACAAUUAGCAUCCUAAUGGACUCAUGCUCAAGUCUAGCGGUGAUAAUUUGUUUUAUUAUAUUUAUUUAGGCUGACUGAAAGUGAAAAAGAAGAACAUGAGAUUAGGGUGAUGCGUGGAAAGCGUUGUCUAUGCGAGUUGGAGACAGGUUUAUCUGAUUUUAGUUAGCAAGCUAAAGGAUCAUAGGAACAGGGUUUAGUUUUCGCAGGUGGCUUCUUUUCUUGUUCCUUCUGCGUCAUGCUGAAAGUACUUUUCUUAUGUUUUUUUAUUUAUUCUUUUUAAUUUGCUGAAGUAGCAUUUGUUAGCACUUAGCAGGUUCUAUUUUCUUGUUCUUUUGCCACAAAAAAAAAUAAUAUGAAUUAAUUAAAAAAUCAUCUUCUUCUUGUGUUCCUAUUAUGAACGCGAUUUGAGCGCAACAACACUCAGACCUUGGAUGAAAGUCAAUACUUCGCCAUGGUCUACCUCGACAUUUUGCUUAUUGGACUGCAUUCUUUGGGAAUCAAGUUCCAUCUUUUUUAGGAUGAUAGUCUUUAACUGCAGUCGGUAAACACUAUAUUGUCGGGGACACAAGUCGGUUAUUUCUCCAGUUUUUACAGUUGACAGAGUUGAUUUUUUCAUUUGCAAAUGGACACAGAGCAGGUAGGAGCAUGACACCGAGCCUCUUUUGAUCUCAUCUAUAUUCCUAUCACCCUUCCCUUACUACGCUAUCAGCCACCAAAGAGUACUUUCUCUCAGCACAUGAGCCUAAUGGUAGGUGAUGGGAAAGUAGCCGAGAAUUGAAAAAAAGUAUUUACUUUCUCAUACGUGAAUUGUAUGAUUACAGCCCUAUUUGUAAUGUGUAAGCCCUAUCUAAUCAAAGAAAGAAAUAUACAAAAGGAAGGGAAAUAUCUUUUUUCCAAAAUAUACAAUAUUCUAAUCUCCUCUAAAUGAACCAAUUAGCAUCAAUUAAAAUCAAUUACAGCAACGGUAUCUUCAACACUCCCCCUCAAGCCGGUGGUCUAUACACAUCAAAGACACCAAGCUUGCUCAAUAGAUACGUAUGUUGCCUUUGACACGGGGGCUUAGUAAAAAUAUCUGCAGGCUGUUCUGUUGUUCUUAUCCCUCUUGUCUUGAUUACUCCAGUUUGAAUUUUGUCUCUAAUGAAGUGACAAUCAACCUCUAUAUGUUUCGUUCUUUCAUGAAAAACUGGAUUUACUGCAAGUUUGAGCGCAGCAUCAUUGUCACAAAAUAGGACAGUUGGCUCUUUCACCCAUACACCAAGAUCUUAGAGCAAGCCUCUUAUCCAGACUAUCUCACAGCUAGUUUUCGCCAUUGCCCGGUAUUCAGUUUCAGCGGAUGAUAACGAUACAGUUGAUUGUUUCUUUGUUUUCCAUGAGAGCAAUGAAUCUCCCAAUUUUAUGCAAAACCCUGUAACUGAUUUUCUACUCAUAGGGCAAGUAGCAUAGUCUGUGUCACAGAAGGCUGUCAUUUCCAUGUUGUUGUUUCGAGACAAUAGUAUUCCUAAACCUGGACAUCCUUUCAAAUACUUCACGACCUUCAGUGCAGCAUUCAUGUGAGAUUGUUUUGGAUCAUGCAUAAACUGACUGAGAAUUUGUACUGCAUAACAUAUGUCCGGUCUAGUCAUUGUGAGAUAGAUAAGCUUCCCGACAAGCCUCUGAUAGAUGGAAGGAUCUUUGAGCAAAAGAUCCUCAUUUAGGGGUGAUAGUCCCUUAUCAUACUCAGCCGUUGUUAAUUUGAUAUUUUGUUCAACUGGAAUUACAGCUGGCUUGGAUCCUGAUAAUCCUGCUUCUGAGAUGAUUUCCAGAACAAACUUGCGUUGAUUGAGGCAAAUUCCCUUAUAUGAUCGCGCAAUCUCUAUUCCAAGAAAAUAUUUGGGAGGUCCCAAAUCCUUAAUAUGGAAUGUGGAGUGUAGGUACCCUUUAAAUUUCUCAAUGGCAGAUUCAUCAUUCCUCAUAAUAAGUAUGUCAUCAACAUAUAUAAGCAAAUAAAUUGAUGAUGUACCUUGACUCCACGUGAAUAAGGCAUAGUCACGCUUGGAUUGUUGGAAUUUUGCAGUUAUAAGUGCAGAGGUGAACUUGGCAUACCACUGGCAAGAAGCCUGCUUGAGUCCAUAUAGGGAUUUACGUAAACAACAUACUCGAUUCUCCCCCUGUUUGCGUAAACCCGGUGGAAGAUCCAUGUAAAUUUCUUCUUCUAGAUCUCCAUGGAGGAAAGCAUUAUGAACAUCCAUUUGAUGAAGAGGCCAAUCACGAAGAGCAGCAAUGGAGAGAAAGGAACGAACGGUGACUUCUUUUGCCACGGGAGAAAAAGUUUCCGUAUAAUCAAAACCUUCUCGUUGUGUAAAACCCUUGGCUACUAAUCUGGCUUUAUAACGUUCAAUUGAACCAUCUGCCUUGUACUUGAUCUUGUAUACCCAUUUACACCCGAUAGAUUUUCGAUGAGGGGGUAUAGGAACAAUAUCCCAAGUGUUGUUCUCCACCAGAGCUCGUAACUCAUCCUUCAUCGCUCGUUGCCAAUGAGGAUCUUUGAUAGCCUCGUCAUAUGAAGACGGUUCCCGUCCCUCAGAAAUUUUACUUAUGCAACACCUAUGUUCGGGUGAAAGGCGAGCGAAGCUAACAUAAGAAGAGACAGGAUAAUGCGUACCAGAUUUUGCCAAGGUGGGACAAAUGUAGUCUGUUGUCCACGUGGGCAGUCGUGUUGUCCGGCUUGAUCGUCGAGGAUGAUCCGUUUCACUUCCAAUAGCCGCAGGAGGGAUAUUAACUAAAUCAUUCGAUGAGAUGGUGUGACCCUUUGGUAUCGCUUCUUGUGACUCCCUAGAGGCUGCAUUAUUUGAGCAAGACUGAGGAUCACAUUCAGCUGCAUGAUGCGUUAUAGGUGAUGUGAUAUUAGGAAUCAUGACGGGCUGUGGAGACAAGAGAUCUUCUUCACUCAAGAAUUUAUGAGGAUUUGUAGCCGGAUCUAAAUUUUGAUGUAAAGAUAAAUCUUCUUGGAAAGGAAAGAUGUCCUCAUGAAAAAUAACGUCUCUGCUAACAAGAAAGUCUCCAGUGGAUGGAUUAUAAAUCAAGUAUCCUUUUUGAUGAGCAGGAUAUCCCAUAAAUACACCUUUAACUGCACGAGGACCCAAUUUGUCCCGAGUGCCUACAGUUGAGACAUAGCACAAGCAUCCAAAAACACGAAGAUGGUGGAUGUUUGGUUGUUUCCCGAAGAGUAACUCAAAUGGAGUCUUGCCAUUCAGAAUCUGAGACGGCAUUCGGUUGAUCAAAUAGGUUGCUGUGACCACACAAUCUCCCCAAAACAUCUCCGGAAUUGAGGCUUGAUACUUAAGGGCACGAGCAACUUCUAAAAGAUGUCGAUGUUUCCAUUCAACGACCCCGUUUUGUUGAGGUGUAUAAGUACACGAACUUUCAUGAAUGAUGCCAUUAGAAAUAAAUAGAGAAGAACACUCAUGAUUAAAAAAUUCACGAGCAUUAUCAAUACGAAUCCGUUGCACAGAUUUGUGAAAUUGAUUUUUAACUAAUGUAAGGAAGUUCCUAACAUGGGAAAGAACUUGUGCCUUAGAUUGCAUCAAAAAAAUCCAUGUAGCCCUUGUAUUGUCAUCCACAAUGGUAAGGAAGAAACGUGACCCAUCCCGAUUUGGUGUAUGAUACGGACCCCAAACAUCCAUGUGUAGAAGAGAAAAAGCUGUAUGAGCACGUGAGGUACUUUGUGAAAAAGGCAAUCGAGAUUGUUUAGCUACUGAACAGAUAGGACACUUUGGAUGAGGAAAAGAGGCACUAUGGCCUAAACGCUGAUGAGACAAAAUAUUAUUAUUAACUUUGGCAUUACACAAAAUGCUCUCAUUUAAGGGUAGAGAUGAAAUAUCAAGAUUUUUGGGAAGUGCGGCCCAAAAAUAGAGUCCCUCUUGAAUUUUACCCAAUCCCAUCAGUUUCCCAGUCGAAAUGGCCUGGAAAAAACAAAUGUCAGAAUCAAAAGUGACUCGACAAGAAUUGUCUUCACAAAUUUUUGAGACGGAAAUGAGAUUAAAUUGGAACUCCGGAAUAAACAAGACAUUUUUCAAUGUGAUGAAUGGGUUGAGUUGAAUGUUUCCUGUUUUAGUAACGGAGGUAUCAUUCCCAUUUGGGAGACGUACUGAGGUGAACGGGGUCGAUGUACGAACAUUAGUAAGGAAAUGCUCAUCACAGACAAUGUGGUCACUAGCACCUGAAUCAAUAAUCCAUGCUUCAGUUGAAAUGGAGCUUAGGCAAUGAGAAAUACCUGUAUAACUUGCUGGUUUGUCCUGCAUUCUCAAUUGGCUUAGAGCUCUCAUGAUUUGUUGGAACUGAUCGUUAUUGACAGGUUGAUGAACUUUGGCAUGUGCCGCAAUUGAGACAUCUUUUUCCUUUUUAUCUGUUGGCCUCCCAUGCAAUUUCCAACAAUUUUCUAGCGUAUGAUAGGGUCGCUUGCAAUAAUCACAGAAUUUGGCUUUUCCUUUAUUGGAAUUUUGGCCACGUGAUUUAUUUGAGGCCACAACAGAAUUUUGGCCGUUGGAUCCCCGAGUAGCCGCGGCAUGAUGUCCACCGUCCGAUAUGGACGUGGAAAAAAUCAAUCCGGAGCCAUCUGAUCGCGCGAACGAAUCGGAGCCGUUAGAUCCCAUGAUUAAAUCACGUCCGUUCGUUGGGAAAUAAGUUUGUGUGAGCCCUGAGCCAUCCGAUUGCCCAAACACAUCUGAGCCGUUCACUCCAGAGGAUAAAAAAGAUUUGUCUUCUUCAUCCAGAAUCCCUAGCGCUGCGACUGACGUUAUGUGUCCACCAUGGCUGCCAUGGCCGGACCUUGCAGCGGCCAACCGCUGCUCUGGCGUCGCUUUGGCAGCAAGGAUAACUCGGUCUCCUACCUUGGCCGCUGCUCUGGCGUCGCUUUGGCAGCAAGGAUAACUCGGUCUCCUACCUUCAGGUACUCCGAGGAGGCCAGGCGUUGCGAUUCUUCCUGGACCGCGAGCUGGUAGAUCCGGCCGAGUGAGGGUACAGGCUCCAUGGCGAGGAUCUGGCUGCGAAACGGUAAGUAACUCUCAUUUAAAAUAAGUAAGAACCGUGUCACCUUCUCUCGCUCUCUUAUCGCACGAUAUUGUGCUAGGGUUGCGUCGGGUCCCUCCAACUUUUCUUCAGCCAUUUCCAACUCGUUCCAUAGUGCGGACAAUUUGUUGAAUACGCUAGAAAUAGAGAGAUUCCCCUGUUUGAGUUCUGAUAGAGCCUGAGUUAAGCUGAAAAUUUUUGCGCGAUCGAGUUUUCCAUACAUUUCCCGUAUGUUUUCCCAAAUUGCUUUCGCGUCUUCGGUCGGAGGGAGUCCCGCGGCGAACUCCGGGGUGAGACAGUUACCGAUCCAGGUCCUAACGAGCUGAUUGCAUUUCCUCCAAUGGCGUGCAAGUCGCUCGUCAACCGGAACUGGAACGGUGCCGUCAAUGAACCCCUCUGUCUUUUGUGAUAAGGGCCCGUCGGAACUCUCGCGACCAAAGGGAAUAAUUUUCCGGCCCGGAGAGCUUCUGUGUGAUAAGGCGGAGCUCGGGGCCAUCGGUAGCGGACGUGUACAGGGGGUCUCCCGGCUCGGGUCGACCGCCAAUGGCACCUACGAAUGGAGAAAAACCAGGUCCAUAAGUCGGGUAAGGGUUCACCCCAAAACCCGAUGGACCCGAACCACUUUGGUUCAGAAAAGUCCAACCUGUUGCAGAUCCUGGGUAGGACUUGUUAUUGGGUAGUGUACCUCCUCCUGACCCGUCGGUUCCACCGUGGGUUCUCUCGGCAGAGCCAAUUACAUUCUGAGCCAGAUUCGUUUGACUCGUCUGACCCGGAAUAGGUGGUUGAACUUGGAUCGGAACCCAUUGAACGUAAGGUCCCGUAAAAAUUUGCCCUGAAUUAGGCUGAACAUGGCUCUGUUGCUCUUCAUCAAGUGUCGUCUGGUUCAGGUCUUGCGUCUGAUCCUCAAUAUCUUGUCCUGAGGGUGAAUGAUUCAGCUCUUGUUCGUCGGAAGAAGUUUCUGGAUUAUGGGGUACUCCAGAUUUUGAGGCUUGGUUUUUUGGCAUAUUGUUUCCUUUUGCUGAUCUAGCCAAAACACUUUCUCAGGUUUGGUGUGGACUGGAGAAGAAAUCAGGACCUUGAUGAGGACAGAGAUGAAGAAAAAAAAUGGGCGGAAGCUAAAAGAGUAGCUCUGAUACCAUGUCAGAAUGGUAGGUGAUGGGAAAGUAGCCGAGAAUUGAAAAAAAGUAUUUACUUUCUCAUACGUGAAUUGUAUGAUUACAGCCCUAUUUGUAAUGUGUAAGCCCUAUCUAAUCAAAGAAAGAAAUAUACAAAAGGAAGGGAAAUAUCUUUUUUCCAAAAUAUACAAUAUUCUAAUCUCCUCUAAAUGAACCAAUUAGCAUCAAUUAAAAUCAAUUACAGCAACGGUAUCUUCAACACCUAUAUUGUCAUCGCAGAGCGCUUGCACUUCAAACAAAUGCAGAAGUAGGAUGUGGAAUCUAAGAGUGUCUGAUUUGAUUCGUAUACAGUGGGUUCAACCCUCGGCAAGUUUGGAUGUUGCAUCUUAAAAGGCACAUUCUUCUAAACGGCUGAAUUUGCAGAAUCAAUAGCAAAGUGAACCUAGUGGGCACGUUUUCUCCGGACAUUUCCACAAAAUUUGGAAUUAGUUCCCCUUACAAAUAGGAACGAUACUAGGCUUUCCCCCUUAUGAGAAGAUGUUCUUGACCUGGGAGUUUAGAAGGGAGUAAGAGCCACUUAAAAGCUGUUGUAGUUUUGGAGAUGGUAUCAAACGAUCUCUCAAAAAAGUACUCUCGGUACGCCAAACAUUAAUUAUCUUGACGUUUUACAAAAUCGUUCAUAUAUUUUUAGAUAGUCAUUGAAUAAAGGGAAAAUUCCAAAAAGAGAUCCAAAGUGUUAUAUUUUUCUCAAAUAAGGAUUCGAAGUGGAUUUUGUUUUAAAUAAAAAUCUGAAGUGACUUUAGUUGUUUCAAAUAAGAGCUUGAAGUGGCUUUGGUUAUUUCAAAUAAAGACCCAAUCUCGACAAUCGCCGGCCGGCUAAAUCUUCUGACCGGUCAAGAGUAUUUUCGUCAUUUGGCAUUUCCCCCCUUUUUUCUUCCUUUUUUUCUUAUCUUUUUUUUUUCCUUCUAAUUCCUUUUCUUUCUCUUUGCUGGUGGCCAGCUAGCCACCGGCAAUGCCCAUAGAGGGUUGGGUGAGGGCCACCCACACCUGCCACAAGCAAGGGACGGCCUCACUUAGGCGUGGUGACCUUCACCCAGGGGCCAUCCACGAGAUCAGUCCUCGCUAGCCCUGGUGAGGGUGGCCUUGCUCGCAACCAGCAAGGGCUGGGUGACCUUGCCGGCCGUGAGCAAGACCUAGGUGAGGCUGACCCUCGCCAGAUCUAGCGAGGGUUGGGCGACCUCACUGGCCCCUGAUAAGGGUUUGCAAGGCCACCCUCACCAAAUUUGGCUAGGGUCGGCCUCGCCUAGGCCUCGCUCGGGGCUGACCGGUCCUUACCAACGGCCGGUGAGGUCAUCCAACCCUCAUCGGCCGCAGGCAAGGGGUCGGUCUCGCCUAGGGCUGGUGCGGGCCGACCUCACGGAUGGGCCCUAGGUGAGGGUUGCCUCGCCCAGGCGAGGCCAUCCCUCGCAUGUGGCCUACGUGGGUGGCCCUCGCUGGCAAGCGUGACCCUCGCCCAGCCCUCUGUGGGCAUUGCCAUCGGCGAAAAGGAAGAAGAAGGACCAGAAAAAAUAAAAAAAGGAAAGAAAAAAAGGUAGAAAAAAGGGGGAAAAUGACAAAUGACAAAAAUACCAUUGACUGUCGGAAAGUUAGAUCCUUAUUUGUAACGAAUAUAACCACUUCGGGCUCUUAUUUGAAACAAAUAUAACUACUUUAGGUCCUCAUUUGAAAUAACAUAUAUUUUAGGUCCUUAUUUGAGAAAAUAAUUACACUUCAGUUCCUUAUUUGAAACAAGGUUCACUUCAGGUCCUUAUUUGAGAAAAUGAGAGCACUUCGGGUCUCUUUUUGAAAAAUUUCCUUUAAUAAAUAAGUUAUAUAGCAAUUUCUACGAAAGCAACUUUGUUAAUUCAAACCCUCCAAGAAAAGAACAAUAAAAGGAGAUUGACAAUGCCAUUGGGAGGCAACUUGGCAAAGCGAGCACUUUUGUGAGGUAUAAUAAGUCAGAGUUUAACAUUAUAUGGAUCAGUCUUUAAUCACGAAUAAAGAAAUGGCAAUACCACAAUCACAAAACUGAGGGCAGUUGGUAUAAUCGAAAUUCCAUUUAAAACUGCUGUUGGCAUAUAAACUUGUUAUUUUGUUUCCAAGAAAAAAAUUAUAAAUAUAUUACCAUAGUAGAACAACAUAUAGAAGAAUUGAAGUUGAGAGCUAGACUUUUUAAAUUUUGGGGAAAAAAAGUUUCUACAAUAAGUUUUUAGGUACUGCUUUCAAGAAUGCUUUAGUUUGAUUGGCGGAACUGUAACAACUAAACUGAGAAUGGUCUUUCUUUAAUUUUCAGCGUCUGGCCGAGUAUAUGCAUUUACAAUGUCAAUAAGUGCCGGACACCGAAACUCAAUUGAAGAGGAGGACUGGGGAAAGUCAGGGAGUUGCACCAUCCACAACCCCUCCAAGUAUAGAGGUUAUGUAGAACGCUGGGCAGUGAAAUACCACCCUCGGGCCCCCCUUGCGUCCGCAGAUGCUGCUAACAAUACUUUUCCUUCCUACUUACGACGAAUGUCAAUAAAAUGAAAAAACAAUUAACUACAUUCAUGCCAUUCUUGUUUACUUAUCAAGCAUAUGCACACUAAGUGACACCUGCUUAUUUCCGUCUUCGGCUGGGCUCCGUGCUCUUUCUGGUUGGAAAUGAUUACUCCAAACGCACGGGUAAUAGGGUCCUCCUUGGACGCCAUCUUUAUCAGUCAUCUUACCGAAUGUUUUCUGGUAUCCAAUAAACACCUUAAAUUCUUUGAUCCGUUAAAGAUGACAAGGAACAUAUUGCUGUCAACACACGUUACAUACACAUACACGCGGUUGGCAAUAUUAUGAAAACCAUAUGAACUGAAGGAAUAAAAUUUUGAGGUUCAGAAAAUGUACCCGUUUAUCCACAUUUAGUAUUUUUUCAUUCUUCGACUUUAGUGACAAAAUUAUCCUGCACAUGUGAAGAAACCGUAUGUGUGCUUCAUUCAUGUCAAAUCAGAUGGGAGGACUAAGUUCUCCAGACAGCUUUAAAUUGACUAAACUCGUCUAGAAGUUGCGUCAAGUACAAUCCAUAACUAUGCUUAUCUAGGAAGAUUAGCCCACAUGACUCGAAUGAAGAUGAACAAGAUGAGUAUACUUUAAAAUGCUGCAUAAUUAUUCUCUACGUUGUAUGCAUAUUAAGGAACUCAAAAGGCAUCUAAACCCACAUCGCUUAAUCUGUGAAGCUCGAAUAAGGGUUAUGUCGACCAAGAGCAUAUUAUUUUCCUUUUAUUUUCUAUGUUCUCGAAGUUGGAAAUUUCAACACUACGCAUCAUGAACAACCAAUGAACUGUUAUUGGAAUUAGUAAAUUUUUAAUGUUGCAAUUAAAUUUUAGUCCCAUACCAUCACAGAAUUAUUUGCAAAUUUUUCUAGUGUGCAAAAUUGUACUUUGAACUCAAACAAUGACCGUGGAGUUUUGAACAUUAACUUUCUACCGAUAAAGUUAAACCUCUAAGGCAAUAGCACUAAAACAUCAAAAGGGAAACAAAAUCACAGAUGAAACAUACAUUAACAAAGGAACCAAAUAAGAGAGAGGUCGUCCCGUCUCGCCACUUCUUUGAAACUUCUUCAAAAAAAAUUCCCAAUAACUACCUACUUCAUCUUCUUGCCACGUCCUCUAACCAAUAUUAACUCAAACGUGGUCAUUUCCCUCCAAAGUAUGGUGAAAAGCAGGCAUAUUAUCUAUUCGAUAAAUUCUCACACGACAUAAAAUGACUUUUCCUUGUGCCUUUAAUGAUGUGUCAUAAGUCAUUUAUAAUCACAACUCAGAUAUUUGCAUUGGGUGUUGUAGUUUCUCUAUCCUCUUCCAACUACUUUCACCCUUUUUACCUCAAUUUGUGACACCAUCUAAAGGUUCAAACUAUGUGAACUCUUCCUCUUCACAUUACCAUCCUCACUUUUUUCUCAUCUUCUCAAUGUUAUUCCGACCUUUCCCUCUCAUGACUGACCGACUUAACUAAUGGAUAUGACCGGCAUUGACUGCGACAUUAGUCAGCAUGAUAGACUCAGGCGGCCAACCGUACUCAAAUCUCUCUUCAACUGAAAUUCACAUGCCACAUGGCACGCUUCCAUUAGUUAAAAUCCUCGCUGUCUACAAUAGAACAUAUGACACCCAAUGGUCUAAUUAAUUUUCGUGAUAACUGUGUGGGAGCACAAAACUCUAGUUUAAAAAAAAAAAAAACAAAACAAAACAAAACAAAGCUAUUCUACCACAGCCCAAUCAUUACAUGUUCCGACUCCUUCGCUGGUCGCGCCGCCGACCAUCAAUCUCAGGAGGAUCACGUUUGUUCAUUUCAUCGAGAGCACCAUUCCAGAACCCAAAAAAAAAAAAAAAAAUCGAGCAAGGAAAAUUCAUCUCAAAAAAGCGAUUCCGUUCGAUUCAGUUGGCGGUUUCAAGCGUCCUGAAUCGAUCACAGUGGCCGUCGCCGGCAUCAACAGCCUCUUCAAUGCCGCGACUCGUCUCCUUUGUUCCCCUCUGUUCCGCGGCCGAGAGCCUCGAAAUGUUCCAGUUCGCUCGGAGCUUCUCCACCUGUUCAGGUUCCCAUCAUCGACACGUUCUAGAGCUUCUUUCAGUGAUUCGUGCGGCCAAUGGUGGCCUCAAUCCGCUUCGUUAACCAGGUAGCUUCUCCUGCUCUUUUCUCACAAGUAAGAGGCCGAGAGUCUGAUUCUCUUAUUAUGAUGAAAUUUAUCAUUGUUGAAUUUUUUUUUUCUUUUGACUUGGAACAUCAUGUACUGAUUUAGGUUGAGUCUAGUUACAAAUUUGGGUUUGAAAUGGCUUUGAUCUGUUCCACAACCGAUUGGCCAUAAUUUGUUCGAUGAAAUGUGUCUGAGAUCUUGGUGUGAAUUGAUUCCAGUAAUCGUCCGAUCUGAAAGCACAUUAGUGAUGUUCACUUGAUAUUGUUUGAUUUUGCAAUCUUUAGGCAUGAUUACGAGUAUAUGCCAUGGUUGCCAAGAAUGAAACUGACUCUCCGUUUGUUUUCUCAGUGGUUCCUGUGAUCUUUUGGUGAUUGGUGGUGGUCGGUGAGACGAGAAGGCUUGGAGUCGCUGGCACACGCAAUUUUUUUGGUGAUGAUCAUAGUACGCCCUGUUGAACAGAAUUGAGACGAUGUCGCUGAGCAUGAAUCGCAAUCACGCCAAUUCAGAUCACUAACUUUGGCCAACACAUGUUUCGGUCACUAACUGGAGCAAAGUUAUGGCUGAUUGCUAGCCGUAUCCUUGCUGUUGAGUCGCCCCACAAUGUCCUCAACUGCUGAGCUUUGCUUCUGUCCAUGCCUUGCAGUCCAUCGUUGCCAUUGUAAUUGCUGUGGUAAACCUACCUUGCCAUACUGCCAUACGUUACCGAUAUGGAUUGAUGUACCAAUAGAGCUAUAUCCACUGCGUUUUGUUAAAAAUCGGAUCACCUCAUACCGGCGGCUUGUUUCUGGUCCAACUGAUUUUUAGAGUUGACUGUAUGUUCAGAUUUCCUUCACUCCUUUGUUUUUUAUGUUCAGAAUUUUGCGCAUCUUCUUAAACCGAAUCAUGGGAAAGCUAAGCUGUUCGAAGUCCAGUCGUCAUGGGGUCAAUACUUGUGUCGUCUACUUCCUGCUUUAUUCUCUGUGCAUGACAUAUUCUACUUCACACGUGCUGUCGAGGGAAAUCAUGGUCGACAAUCAAUAUGAAGUGAGCAAGUUAUAUUUACUCUCUGUCAUUAGUUGAUAAGCUUUGGGGUAUGAUGAAACCAGUCAAUAGCUUGCUCAGAAUAAGUAAAUGAGGAUUUACUUCUUUCUUGGAAGUGUCAAUGUCAUCGCUUUGUCUCUGAUCGUGGAAAGAGUUUAUGGUUCGUUUUGAACUUGCAUAAAAAUCGUUGGAAUGCUCAUGAAGCAGCGAGUACCCAAAAUUUACAAGUUAUAUGAAUUGGUGUGUCCUGUUGUUGCAUAUGCUGUAGUUUAGCAGUUAUUGUUCAUCUAUGUUUGCUGAACCAUUUGAUUUGUCACUUUCAAUCGACGAGAUUUUGAUAAAGACACAUGACAAUCGUGAGCGAUGUAUUGAAACUGGCACUUUGGUGAUGACAGUGCUCCUUCGUGUCACAGUAUGUACUUGUUUUAGGAAAAAUCAUUUAUGAUGUUGGAGAAGUGAAUAUGUGUUGUAGGUGCCUUGGAUUCGGACAAACCCCUCGUUAUCCUAGACCCACUCAUUGAAGAAACGGAGAGGUAUAAACGUAAUUACUUUCCUUCUCUUGGCAAAAAUUCUGCCAUUCCCAUAGAAGUUCCAAGAGUACGAUGAGGUCGCCUAAAAAUUAGAAAACAGAAAAUGGAGAAACAUUUUGAAUCAGUAGUAACUAAACUAAAUGUUCUAUUGUGGUUUUCUCCUAAAAUAUGUGGUGCUUAGAACCAUUGAAUACCUAAAGCAAAACACAUGUGAGAGAGAGCUUUCGAGAGUAACGCUUAUAACCGUGGCUGAUCUGUCGAAUAGUACAAUGUACAAGACUUUAUGUUAAGCAGGGAGAAUUGAGAUAGGUAUCCGCGUGCUUUAUUUUUUUGCGCUUCCAGCUGAGUUGAAGCUAGAUGUGUAUAGUCGGCGUGCAUCUAUGAAAAAGUAUAUCUACAGUGUCAGAGUAAACGAGGUAAGUCUGAUUACUAUAAUGGAGGUAAUAUACAUUUUGCAGGCCCAAUAAUGGACAUGUGACAUUGGGCCAGCAAAAUGAACAUAUGAAGCACAAAACCAGAAACAAAAUCUUUCAUUGUCACCUGUCAGCACCGGUAAAAGCAUCACGCACCUGCAAACUUCAAACAUCUCACUUGACUGAGUCCAAACUCCAAAUCUUUGCAUGGAAAGUAGAAUUGGAUAACAAAAAUGUUCACGGCAUAGAUAUAAGAGGGCGCAUGAAGCUAUUGCUUCAAUUUUGUUGCUGAAGAGCGCCCCACUAUUUUCGGAAUCCUCACUGCAACUGCAACUACCACUAUUUCCUUGAAGUGAUUCACAGUAUGAAUUCAUCUCCCAAAGUUUUCCGUCAACUUUUGAUUCAUUAAGUCGAUGAAUGUAAGUGUCCCCAACGUAGUCCCAAAUUUGCUGCGUUCUUAAAUCUAGAGAAUAGCAAUAUUGUGUAUUUUUCCAACGGCUGAUCGCGUGCUUAUCUUUGCAUCUACAAAUCCAAAAAGGACAAGCUGUAACAAGACAGCCUACCAAAACACUAAAAUAUAGAUCGAAGAUCAUCAUACACCUUCCACAUCUUCCAAAACCACAUAUCAGACAAACCCAAAGAUAGAGCAAAUUGAGAUAGAGCAGAACGAAAGUAUUCUUCAGAGUCAGGUCACAGAUGGGCAUCCCUGAUGAUGUUGCAAUAUGGAGCCACAUAUGCGAUAAUGUUUAAUUCUUGCAAUCUGAUCAAGUAUGUGCCAUACUUAAAAUCUUUAGCAAUGUAAUUGAACCUUGCAAUAAAAUCAAAGGAAGACCCUUGGCACAUCACCAGCAUUGGAGAAUAUCAUAUUGACUUAUUUUAAACAUAAAGAUUGACGAAUCAAGGAAAGGUUAGUAAGCAUAUGUCCAUUGAUGGAUAUCCUAUGUGACACUUUUUUCAUCUUUUGAUAUAUACUCAAGUUCAAAGUUACUUCUUUGCUACAAAUUUACAUGGAUGGAGCAUUAUCACAAUCAGUGGAAUAUAGCUUGAAAUGUGAAAAAUGACCAAGCACCAUCUUAUCUUACAGCCAGAAGUUUGAGAUCAAAGAUCAGCACUUUGACAUCAUUAUGAUCACCCGUGUCAAUAAUGAGUACUUAAGUUCAAUGCAUAAACUCAAUAAUUUAUGGUUGGCCAGUGCUAUUGCGAUCGCCCUUGGACUCAUAAUAAAUUAGACACAACGGUGAUAGGACUAUUAGAUCAAAUAACCAUAAUGAGACACUGCAAAUAUUCUCGUAUCAGGGUAUAAGAAACAUAAAAAAAAUAAGUCCAAGAAGCCACACUAUGGACCUAUUCCAAAUCAUCAGAAAAUGUCAUAAUCAAUUAAAGUGUUGAUAAAACCUCCAUAUAUAUUUUAAAAUUAACAAAACUCUCCAUGUUUGUAUUGAUCUUGGUAAUCACAAAAAAGGCAUUUGUGUUUUAGGUACUAUCUAUGUCAAAAGGAUUCUUCUUGUCCAAAAAGAAUAUUAGACAAACAAUGGAGAGUUGUGGACCUGAGCAGGUCCUUAAAAGGCUCAAGGAGAAAAUAUGUGAGAUAACCGCCCUGGGGUGGGAGUCCCUUCGCUGUCCUCCAUAUUCCCUCUCUGUCGGGAAGACAAAAAUAAAUAGAGAAUUUGGGGGCCUCUCAAUGGGGAAGGUAGACUUCACGUCAAAGCUUGCUCUGGCUACCGCCGAAUAGGGUGGUAUAGUAGCCACCCGCGUGUGGGGUGAGAGAGGGUGGGUGAAAUGCCCACUGCUGUGUCAGCAUGCCUUACGGCACGGUUCCCAACCAUUGGCUAACAUAGUACCCCUGGUAUAUGUGUGAUAUCAACAAGGCAACAGGCUAGAUAUCAGUAGAGUCCCACAAAAGCUAAGUAUAAGCAUGAAAUUGAUUUACAAGAUUAUUUUUUGAGACGUUUUAUAUUCCAUUUCGUUUUAACAGCUUGUGAUUAGGUAUGAAUUGCCUCUUAAGGGAAUAUUGAUUGUCUAUCUCAGAGAUUGUCUUAGCAAAAGACUCAAUCUUGUAAGAUAUUUUGAUUGAUUGGCAAUCAUCUUCAAAGGCAAGUUUCUUUCCAUAGUAGAAGCGUUCUAUUUUUUAGAACCAAGGUUUAAUUGUAUAGGCGACCAAAUGAAAAAGUCCCAUUUCAUAUUCUUCCCUAAAAUAUAUUUUGUUUUAUCUUUCAUAAUAUAAUUGUCAUUACUAUAUGCAUCUUCUUGUUUAUUUCUCAUAACGAAACGCAUAACCAAUACACUAUCGUCCUCAUGAACUACAUUGUCUACCACAUUAACAUGUCUUAUCUUAUUUUAUUUUAUUUUGUAAAUUGAGGUAUUGCAUUAAACAUCUUAACAAAUUUUAUUCUAUUUAGGAAACAAAAAGUAACCAUUUGGUUAAGAUAAUAAUGACAGCGACCUAUAACGAGUAUUGCUCAUUGAUUUUCUUUUCUAUUUUUUGUUAUUGAUUAAAUAUGCAAGUCUAGUCAAGUGUGCUGGAUCUCGACUUUCAAUAAAGGUGUGUUGGAUCUCGACUUUCAAUAAUGGUGUGCUAGAUCUCGACUUUCAAUAAAAGCUUCAUGUGCACUUGCUCAAAGAUUCAGAUUUAUGGAUUUUAUUGAUCACAUGUUGUUGGACGGUGUCAAUUACAAAGUUUGGAUUAUUUAAGGUUUGUGCCGAGAUGAUGUGGCAUUAACAUAUAUUCCCAAAUAUGAACCCAAGAUGCCAAAAACUCAGGAAGGUUCAGGAGUUUGUGAAAAGGAAAAAGUAGGUUGACCAAAAUUAUCUCGUUUAGGUCAUGAGAUGGAUUUAACGUAAUGUAUAACUCAAUUAGUUGUUGAUUGUGUAAACAAGAUCGUCAUAAUCAUCCAAUUUGCCCAAACAAGGAAAAACAAAUGUUCUCAUAUUUACCAUCAAUCGAUUUUUAAUUAUCUCGAUAAUCUAAUAUCCAUAUAGUAGAAUCUUCAGAAUUGUUACUAUAUUAAAUGUGCUAAUAUGCUUGUAACUCCAUUCAAACUAGGAUAUGGAGCCUAACCCAAUUCCCAUCUUUAGUAAAAUAUUCACGUCUAAUUUUCAAAGGCCAUUAAACGGUAGAAAAGAAGUGGCUCUGCGUAGAGGGAUUGUAUUCUGGUUUUCUAAUAAAUUAGGUAUCUUCUUCAAAUUAUAUGCCAAUGAGUAUAUCAUUAUCAUUAAAUGCUGUCGUAAUCUACUUUAUUUAUUUAUUCACUAAAAUUAGUUGGUGUAGAUUACGCACCUUCCGCAUAAUGCUACGGAAAUAAUAAUCCAAGGAGAGACGUUUUUGUGAUUGACUCGUGUAUAAUUUGCACCGGAAUCAUGGGAGUAUUGAAAUGCUGGUUAGUUUUCUUUCCUAUUUCUCUUAUUAACAGAACAGCAAAGUCAAGUCAACAAGCACGAGCUUAGGAUUCUUCCACGCACCUCCUGCAAACUGCUGUGGAAAUUACGCGUGCAUUUGAUUGACCUAUGGAAAUUGGUUUCGGUGAGAAUUGAUGGUUGUUCUUCAUUUCUAUUUCUUUAUUACUAGAAAAAGCAAGUCAAGUCAAAAAGCGUAGGAUGGUCCCCACGCCUGCUGCAAAAAGUAGUGGAAAUUACGCGGGCAAUAGUCGCCCUCCGGUUGUCUUUUCUAUUUCUCUUAUUGAUACAAAAGGCAAGGCAAGUCAAAUCAAGGUCUUGCUCGCUUCGCUUUGGAUAAAUAAAAUGUUUAGAAAUAAAAUAUCAUUAACAUUGGGAAUAUUUUUAAUUAAUUAAAUAUUUUAAUUAAUAUAAAUAAUCAUUUAAAAAUAUUUUUUAAAUAAUAUAAUGAAAUUAUUUUUUAUUAACUAAUUAUUUCAAAUGAUACAAGUAAACUUAAGAUUUAUUGUUUUAAGAGUUCACUUGUAUUUCUCUAAAAAAUUAAUCAAUAAAAAGAUUUUCAUUAUCAAUGAUAAUUUAUAUUUAUAUAUUUUCAUGAAUAAUUCAUUUAUUAAUUUUAGUAAGUAAUAUAAAGGAUUUUAAAAGAAUAUUUUUUGAAUUAUUUUUAUUUUAUGGAACAAAUGCACGCUAAAAGCUCCAAACAAAUGUUAAACUGAUGUGAUGAAGUAUUAACGUGCCCUAUCAAGGGCCCCAAACGUUAAAUCCUCGAAGUUGCCAUACCGCUUGUACCUAUCAAAGAAACUCAAAAAAAUCUACCCACACUGAUAUGAACAAGACAAACUGGUGGACUAGAGAGAGCCGUGUAAGAUGAACCAAAGAUAAGGAUGGAAUCUUGAACACCCAAUGAAACGAGAGAUAUAUAUAUCACAAGAUAAGGCUCAAAAUUCAUUUAUAAUAUGUUUUGUGGUGUGUUUAGGCUAUAGACCGGUCAUGUCUUUCAUUCUCAUUGGAUGCGCAGGAAUCCAAUAUCCUAAUAUAUAAUAUAGGUGCGUUUGAAAGGUUGUGGUCUCCAAAUAUGCAAACAUUUUUUUUUUCUAAUAAGGUGCUAAUUUGUCUUUACCUUAGUGUGAGUGGAAAUCCAUCACUAACCUCACCAGUAUUUUCCAUGAUCUAAUUUCAAAUAGUAGAAGAUUAAUGGGCAAGUUGAGCCUAGAAAUCCUUGCCCAAGAUCGAUUAUGAUUAAAGAAAAGGAAAAUAUUACCAACCCCGGAUCUAUAUGGAGAGAAUUUAUUAUACAAUUAAAAUAUUUGCACUCACAUUAAGGAUCCAAUUGCACUAUCACUUGAAUUAUUUUCCUAAAAUUAACUAUUUAUCAUUUAAAAUAAUUAAUUAAUAAAAAUAUUUUAAUUAUCAAUGAUAAUCUAUAUUUAUAUAUUUUGUAUUUUUUUUUCAAAGCGAGCAAGACUUUGACUUGACUUGUCGUGCCUUUUCUAUGAAUAAGAGAAAUAGAAAAGAAAACCAAAGGGCGAUCCGUAAUUUCCACUGCAUUUUGCAGAAGGUACUGGGGACCAUCCUCUGCUUCUGGACUUGACGUACUUUUUCUACUAAUAAAGGAAAUAGAAAUGAAAACGAACGAGCAAUUCUCCACCAUCUAAUUUCCACAAGGCAAUCAAAUGCACGCGUAAUUUUCACAGCAGUUUGCAGAAGGUGCGUGGAACCAUCCUGGGCUGGUGCUUCUUGACUUGACUCUGCAUUUUUCUGUUAAUAAGAAAGAUAGAAAAGAAAACUAACUAGCAUAGCAAUGCUCCCGUGCUCUCGGCAGUAAUCAAUAAAAAAAAAAAAUCACUUGUCGGAUUAUUAUUUCCAUGGUAUUAUGCAGUAGGUGCGUACUCUCUGCCAAUUAAUUUUAAUAAAUAAAUAAAAAGAGAUAGAUUUCGAUAGCAUUUAAUGAUGAUGAUAGGGUGCACUGAAAAGAAAAAUUAGAAUUUUUUUUCCUUUUUUCUUUUGUCAAUCUUUCUUUUAUCUAAAUAAAUACUAACUCAUUCAUAUAUAUUUUCAGAUGAUGAGGAAACCCUUCCGAUUUCCAUUAUUCAUAGGAAGUUUCGUUCAUUUCCUCUAGAUAUUUUGCCUCCCAAGCAAGUAAAAAUCCAAGAGCUCACAUUUCCAUCAAUUUUUGCCACACUUCUCGAUCCUCAAAAGAGUUUGAACCAAUGUUUAUCAUUUGCCUAGAUAACUUCUUGAUCCUCAAAAGAGUCUGGACCAAUAUUUAUCAUUUGUCUAGAUAACUUAUAUAACUAACAAACUUUUCUCCUCCUAGAUAUCUAGGAUUUCUAACUUUUUUUCUUUUCAUCGGGGAGGGAUUCACCCAUCGGCCACGCCCACCAAUUAUUAGAAGCAUCGUUAGGAAAAAAAAUAAAUGCACCCUACUAUGCGACAAAGUUACAUUCCAUAUUCUUCCUUAAAAUAUAUUUUGUUUUAUCUUUCACAAUAUAAUUAUUAUUAUUAUUAAUCCAUCGUUUGUUUUUUUUUCAUAACUAAACACAUAACCGGUACGAUGUCGUCCUCAUAAACUACAAUGUCCAUCAUAUCAUAAUGUCUUGUUAUGUUUUUCUGUUUUUUUAUUUUUGUUUGUAAAUUGAGGUAGUGUAUUAAACUUCAUUUAGUUAUGGUGAUAUAUUUUAAUAGUGUGAUUGGUCAAGGUCGUGAUAUCAUUGUAUAGUUAGUUCGUACUAUUCAAAUGCUAAUGAUAGAGACCUGUAACGAGCAGUGCUCGUUAAUUUUCUUUUAUAUAUUUUGUUAUUGAUGAAAAAUGCAAGUCCAAUCAAGUGAGCUGGAUCUCAAAUUUCCAUCCAAGCAUCACUUGCACUUGCUCGAAGCUUCAAGUCUAUGGAUUUCAUUGUUUGCAUGUUGUUGUAGGAUGUCAAUCGCAAAGUUUGGAUUAAUUAAGGUUUUUAAAGAGAUGGUUCGGCAUUAACGUGUAUUCCCAAAUAUGAACCCAAGAUUCCACGAACUUGGGUGGGGCCAACUACAAUGUCUUGUGAGUUUGUGAAAAGGAAAAAGAACAUUUGAUAAAAAUCAUCUUGUUUACGUCAUGAAAUGGAUUUAACAUAAUGUAGUAAAUCAAUUAGUUAUUAAUCGUGCUAACAAGAUCAUCAUAAUUGUCCAACUUGCCCACGCAAGGACAAACAAAUUUUCCCGUAUUUACUAUCACUUCAUUUUUAAUUGUCUCGAUAAUCAAAUAUCCAUAAAUUGUAGAUUCUUCACAAUUGUUACUAGAUUAAAUGUGCUAACAUGCUUGUAGCUCCAUCUGAACUCGAACAUAGAGUUUCACUGUGACAUCCAGAUUUUCGGGUUUUAAUUCGACUGGAUAAAUAGAGCCAUUUUCGUUCAGUUGAAGCCAGGGAUUGUGAAGUUGGAAUGCAAGUGGGUUAUAUUGGUAAGGAAAAAUACCAAUUGGAAUGAUGAGGUGUUGCAUAAAUUAAUGGGGGUCAAUUUGAUUUAAUUCAAGAGGAAUUAAGGCCCAGUUGGAAAGAAAACCUAGCAAAUUCGUAUGCCACACAUACCCCACAUUUUGGCCUAUCUAAAGGCUUCUAGAAGGGGUAGAAUUGACAAGAAAUUGUGAGUGGAAGGGUGACAUCACAUGAUGUCAUGGUGGGCCAAGUGUGUGAUGACCUAAGAGAGAGAGUGUGUGAGAGGAAGAGGGGAAAUUGAAAUUUUCUUCCUCCCCUCUCUCCUCCGUCGACGGAUCCAUCCCUAUCUUCUUCUUCCUUUUCUCCAAACCUCCAUGGGAGCGGAAGACCAGAGAAGCAGAAGCAGCUGCCGUCGUCGCCCACCGAAGCCGGAGCCGCCGCCGCUGCUCCGCGGUUGGCCGCACCUCACCGCACGCCCUCUCUUCCGCCUCUCUCUCCCUCCUCUUACUGGUGCGAACCAGAGGACAGCAGAAAGUAAAGCAGCGUCCAGCGUCGCCGGAAGGAACCGCGACCAGCUGCCUGGACGCCGCCGCACCGGAGCUGCCGCACCGCCGCCCGCGCGACGCCGCGCGCUCCGCCGCCUCACGAUCGCACCUGCCGUCCUCGCUGUGCGACCCAACCCCUGUUCCGCCUCUGUUCAGCUUCGUUUUGGCCAUCUACGGUCCACGGUUCGGCCACCUCCGGCCACCGUGCGCCGCCACUUCGACCCGUCGGAGUCCCCUCGCCCUCCACCGGCCUUGGCUAGCUCGAAUCAGCCCCGGAUCCGCCCCUUCCAGCAGCGAUCAGAGAAGUCAGAAAAUGGGUUUCCAGCACUGUUCAAGGUCGUUUUGGGUCGUUUCCCGGCCCCGAACUCGAGGCCCGCUUUGGGAACAAUCGUUCCUCGCGUCGCCGCCGUCGGAUUGAUCCGAUUUGCGCGCGAUUUGGUGAGUAAUCUCACUAAUCCUGGAUUAGUUGGCUAAUUAUGCUUUAGGUUGGUUUAGUUUUAAUUAAUUAUGUUUAGGUUGUUAGAUUAGAAGUAAUUAGCAAUUAUUAGUCAAUUGUGAUGCGAUUUAGAUAAAUUGAUUGUGCAAUUAACAAGUAGACGUGGUCUACUAUUUAUUGGGAGUGUCUCGGGAAUUUUCGAACCCCUAAUUGAGCUUCAAUUUGAUGAUUCGGGCCUAAGUGGGAUUUUUGGCAUUUAAAUAUUAAUUUUCGGAAUUAAAUUAAAUAAUUAUUUAUUUUUCGAAAAUUCAAGGGAGAUGGUCUGGAACCGGAAUAUUAUGCUGAUGAUUGUGGCGAAGUCCGUUUAUUUGAUCGGACUUUAUUUUUUUAAGCUAAAUUGAAUUUUUAAGAUUAAUCAAUUUUCGAAAUUAAUUAAAUAAUUAUUUAAUUCCUGAAAAUUCAACUGGGAUGGCCCGUGACCGGAAAAUUAUGCUGAUGACCGUGGUGAAGUCUGUUUACUUAAUUGGACCUUAUUUUGAGCUAAACAGAAUUUUUAAUAUUAAAUAAUUAAUUUUCGAAAUUAAUUAAUUAAUUAAUUAUUUUUCGGAAAUUAGGUUUGAGAUGGCCGAUGACCGGAAUUUCAUGCUGAUUGUCAUGGUGUGGUUCGUUUAUUUAUUUGAGGCUUAAUUUGUGAGAAAUUGAUUUAUUAGUGAUUUUAGGAUUUAUUCCUAAAUUGCACAAUUUUUGGUUAUUACUUGAAGAAUAACCGGGCAUCGGUUGAUAAUGCCAAUAUAUUGAAAAAGUUGCCGAGUGGGGCCGUGAUACCACUACAUAUAGCAUUGCCGAGUGGGGCCGUGAUGCCACUACAUGCCGAGUGGGGCCGUGAUGCCACUACAUAUAGCAUUGCCGAGUGGGGCCGUGAUGCCACUACAUAUAGCAUUGCCGAGUGGGGCCGUGAUGCCACUACAUAUAGCAUUGCCGAGUGGGGCCGUGAUGCCACUACAUAUGAUAUUGCCGAGUGGGGCCGUGAUGCCACUAAAUCUAAGAAAGUUGCUUGGUGGGGCCAUGAUUACCACCUAUAAUUAAGUUGUGUCCUAAGGACCGUGAUUCAUAAUUGGGAUUUGAAUUGGAAUAGUUGAAAUGACCGGAAGUGGUCUUGUUGAUAUGUAAUCGACUAGGUCGAUUGAUCAUUGCUUGAUCUGAUGUUGUGAAUGGGCAGAUUGAUUGGAAAUGACCAUGAGAUGGUAUGAUUGACUUGUAAUCGACUAGGUCGAUUGAUCGAUUAUUCGAUCUGAGUGUGACUUGAUGUGAUUCAUUGCCUUGGUUGGAUGUUGUGAAUUGAAUGAUUGAAUGGAGAUGAUCAUGAAUGGUCUUCCUGGCAUAUAAUCGACUAGGUCGAUUUGAUCGAUGCUUCGAUAAGUGAUCUGAUUGCUUGGGUGCCUAUUAUGAAUUGUACUAACUCGCAGGUGGGAUAUGAGGCCAAGGUACGUCUUCUGCCCUAUGCGUGUAUAGGCAGCCUAUAGUAUAAUAGUUUACUAAUUGGGCUUAGUGGGGUAGAACUCGCUGAGACGUAGUCUCAUCCCAGUUUGGGGAAAAACAUUUCAGGACCCCGUUGAGGAGCUGAGGAGGAAUCUGAGAAGGAGAACUCGGAAAUGAAACCUGAGUAGAAGAAUUUUUGAAAGAAGAAGAUAAUCUCGAGAGGGGCCUUGAGUACGGCCCGGAUGGCUGAGAGUUUAUCUUAUUUUGAGAUUUCCUUUUUGAUGUGAAUAGUUAUGAAGUUCUCUAGUUGAUGUCAUGUACAAAAGUUUGGUUAUAAAUUUCAAUAUGAAAAAUAUGGCCCUGCUUUUCU
rnacentral:lncRNA from 1 species